UACGGAGGGUGCAAGCGUUAUCCGGAUUCACUGGGUUUAAAGGGUGCGUAGGAGGGCAGGUAAGUCAGUGGUGAAAUCCCCGAGCUUAACUUGGGACUGCCGUUGAUACUAUCUGUCUUGAAUACCGUGGAGGUGAGCGGAAUAUGUCAUGUAGCGGUGAAAUGCUUAGAUAUGACAUAGAACACCAAUUGCGAAGGCAGCUCGCUACACGAAUAUUGACUCUGAGGCACGAAAGCGUGGGGAUCAAACAGG
rnacentral:rRNA from 1 species